rnacentral:lncRNA from 1 species
GUCUAUUCUAGGAAGUAAACAAGUAUGGUGAGUAAGAAGAUUAUAUAUGUCAUGUAUGUACACUACCUAUAUACUUUAGAAUAGCAAGGAAUUUUGUCAUAAAGCAGAUUGGCAACCGAAACUUUUUUGUUUUCGAACUCCAACUCCAACCCACUCAAAGUGGAUGGAAUAAACACUCCAAACCCACUCAUAGUGUUUAACUUGAGAAACAGUUCCUCAUAUUGUUAAUAAAUACUCCAACCCUCUCCUCUAUAUAUUCACGCACACUCUCAAGCCCUCCUCUUUCACUCCCUCUUCUUUAGAAUAUUAAUUUCCUUAUUCUCUUCGGUAGUGACAAGUACUGAACUUAAUAAAUUUCGAAGACAACACCGAGACUGUUAUGGAAGCCGCUGUUUAUUCGGCUAUAGGAUUUACUUUCACCGCACUUAUAGAUGGGUCAGCGUUUUUUUUUUUUUUUUGUCUAGUAGUCUAGUGGCUAGAGCUCACACAAUUUAAUUGUGGAAAAGUGGAGUGUUCGGGAUUCGAACCCCGACCCCUGCAUAUAAUAUGCAAUAUCCCUACCAACUGAGCUAAGCUCACGGGAUGGUUAGCAAUUUUAUUUAUAAAAAGAAAAUGUAGAUAUUUCAUACAAGGAAUAUUCUAUCUUUUUUGUGGAAUUAGUUAUAUUAUUUCGUCAUUACUGUUUAGUAUAACAGUCUAUCAUUUUAUGUUUGCUAGGUUUGGAACACAUAGUUCCACACUAAUUUCUUAUGGAAUUUGUGUAUUAUUUUGUAUUGUCACCGCCUCACAUAUAAUAUCAUUUUCACAGGGGUGGUAAAAGUAAUUGAUGUAUUUAGAUAUAGGAGAAUAAAGUAUGAUGGUUUUGGUGUUGUAAUUGAUAUAUUUAGAUAUACGAGAAUAAAGUAUGAUGGUUUUGGUGUUGUAAAUUCAUUUAUAUAAGGGCUUUGAUUUCAACUUGAGUCAAGCAUAAUUUUAAGUUAUAUUUUUAUGAUUUUCAUAAUGCUUAAUUCUCAUCAUUUUUCUUAAAUAUUGUUAAUUUUCCUUAAACCAAUCUUAAGUCUUGCAUAAUCUUCCAAGAAUAUUUUACAUGAUGAUAUUGUCAAGAACAAACAAGAGUAAUUUGUAAACAUCAUGAUUAAUAUGAUAAUAUUGUUCUUUUUCGUCCAACCUUUAUUGUUCUUAUUUCGUAUAGUUUAACACACAAUCUGAGUUUACGGUGUGCUAGCAACACACUCUUCUCAGCACACUAUAUCCAAUUGGAAGGUACUCGUAUGAAUUUCAAUCAAUAAGAAAAAGUGUUAUAGAGAGUGUAUUGCUAGUAUUUUAUAUAACGUUGUAGUGGCGCAUCCUUUGUUUUGUGGAGAUUACACAUGAGCAAGCUUUGUUAUUCACUCGAUGACAUUCUUCUAACUCUCUUUAUUUUGAACUGAUGGCUGCCAUUUUAUUCAUGAAAAUUGUUCAUGACAAGGGUUGGUUUGACCUUUGACUAAAAUGUCAUUCUAUGUUUGUUUAUCAAGUUUUCUCUAAUCCAAAGAUUAUGCCUUGGAAGCUUCAAACCAGUUUGUCUAACUGCGUUCAUUUAAUCAAGAAUUUUCAUUUGAAAUCUCAUAUCUACAAAUACAAAGAAGAAAACACUUGUGUUGAUGAC